CAGUUGGCUGCGUUUACCUUAGGUAAAUGGAGAAUGUGAGAAGUUAAAAUGUUUUCAAGAUCACCCAACUAGUAGAAAGAGAAACCAGGAUCAGCUAGAUAGCUAAGAAACGCCAAGAAUGAGGAAUCUUAAUCAAAGCUGGCAACUGACCAUCCAUAACGUUGACUAGCUACACUGCGUUGAGUUCGUCAGAGGACCGACCGUAUUGCACACAGGGAAUGUGCUGAGAUCUCAACUGAGCAUCUGAGAUUCAGCAAGACUCCAGCUGCCAUCAACAGAGAAGGCUGGUCUAUGUAUCAUACAGCUGCUUUUUGGCAGGGACAAAGAACAGCUUGCCUGGCUCUUCAAGCUUCUGCUUGGAAACAACCUGCACCAUUUCUGCUCACAGUUCGGACGACCGCAUUUGCACUCCCAGUGAACAGUAAAGUCACCUGCCGUCCUACGUGAGCCAACCUGCUAAGGUCCCCAUUCUAUCAUCUUUAAGACAGUAAUAACAUUGUGGGCAUUGAGGAUGGAGGUAAGACUACAAACUAAUCAAUUCU